rnacentral:lncRNA from 1 species
AUUUUAUUACAUUUAUAGGUGUACAACAAUCAUCACAAACAAAUUUUAUAGCAUUUCCAUCCCAAACCCUCAGUGCAUCCCCCCACCCCCCAACCUGUCUCCUUUGGAAGCCAUAAGUUUUUCAAAGUCUGUGAGUCAGCAUCUGUUCUGCAAAGAAGUUCAUUGCAUCCUCUUUUUAUAUUCCACAUGUCAGUGAUAACAUUUGAUGUUGGUGUCUCAUUGUAUGGCUGACUUCACUCAACAUGAUAAUUUCUAGGUCCAUCCAUGUUGCUAAAAAUGCCAGUAUUUCAUUCUUUUUAAUGUCUGAGUAAUAUUCCAUUGUGUAUAUGUACCACAUCUUCUGGAUCCACUCCUCUGUUGAUGGACAGCUAGGUUGUUUCCAUGUAUUGGCUAUUGCAAAUAGUGCUGCAAUGAACAUUGGGGUACAUGUGUCUUUGCGAGUCAUGGUUUUCUCUGGAUAGAUGCCCAGGGCUGGGAUUGCUGGAUCAGAUGGUAGUUCUAUGUUUAGUUUUCUGAGGAAUCUCCAUACUGCUUUCCACAGUGGUUACACCAAUUUACAAUCCCACCAACAGUGUACUAGGGUUCCUUUUUCUCCACACCCUCUCCAAUACUUAUUGUUUGUAGACUUUUUGAUGAUGGCCAUUCUGGCGGGUGUAAGGUGAUACCUCCUAGUGGUUUUGAUUUGAGCCACUGUGGCACAGUGUAAAGGGUGAGGGGCUCAAGGGCUGGCAGAUCAUGCCCCAAGUCCCUGGGCAGAGCUACUUCACCAGAGGGAGACUCAGUUUCCUUAUCUCUGAAAUGGGCACAAAAGCCCUACUUCCGGGUGUUCUUGUAAAGAGUCUGUAAACCACUCCAUACAGUGUCUAGUCCAUAAAGUGCACCAUAAACACCCCCCCCUUCCCUGCCCCACAUCCAUUUGUCUGGUGACAUGAGUGCAGUAGGGGCCUAGGCCCCUCUCUGAGGUCCAGAGGCAAAGGCUGCCGCAGGACCAUCCGUCUCUGACAUUAUAGCACUUGUCAGCCACGGAGGACGUCUGGUCAACCAGAGGGUCUCCUCCAACGCCGAGUGAUCUGCAGGGCCCAGGCCAGCGUGUCUAGUGACAAGUGCCUGAUUUCUGGAGGCUGAUUCUGUGGAACCCACACCCCACCCUGCACUGCCAGCCUUUCCAGCACCCCGAGAGGACUUCAUACCCUGAAGAGCAUUCAAAAUCAUUGCAAAACAACAUAAAACAAAGCGGUGUCCUGGGCAGGUUUCAAGGCAGCAGCCUAGGCUCUAUUAAACCCUGAGCGGGGCCAGAGACGCAGCUCAGAGGAAAGCUGUGGCCUUCCCUCCUGGCAAGACUGUGGCCGGAUGGCUUCUGUCUUCCUUCUGAGGGGAGGGACCCGCUUGGCAGCAAAGCCCCCCACCCUCGCCCCGUCCCAUCUAGGAUGGUUCUCUUGGGUCCUGACGAUGCUCCUGGAUCCUGUUUGUCCCCUUAGAACACAUAAGCCUUCCUUUUCCUGCCUGAGUUUUAUGACUCUGGGUAGGACUUCAAUUUCUAGAGGAGGUGCUGGAAUAUCUAGUCUGUAUACCAGAUACAGCAUUUUAAUUCUUGAGCUAUUAAUUCUUCACGAAUAAAGCUGCAAGCAGUACGUUUUUAUGUGUCCCAGUUCGUUUUAACUUUUGUCAUAAGACCUUAACACACAAAGGCAUUAACUUUUGCUAUCGGCAAUGGGACAGGGAGAAGCCGGCGAGUUGGCCCCCCAGCAUCUGGGGAACCCCGUUUCCACUUUCUGUGGAAGGAAGUUCAGCCGGCAGGCCUUUGCUGAAGCCCCCCACCCCUCUUGUUUUGGAGGCUGCUUUUUGGAGGAUCCUCUGCAAAACCCAUUUGGUUUUUUUUUUUCCCCAAAGGCAAAGGGUAUGCUCACUCUGGAAGGUUCCUUUCCAUCCGUCCUCCCAGGCAGGGCUGCUGGUCAGCUGAAAAGCAAGGAGGCGAAGGCCAGCGGAAGAGAAAAAAGUGUUCACUCAAGGCUAGAGGCUGUGUGAGCUUCGGGAGGUCCCUCCGUCUGGCCCUGCUACUUCCUUCUCCACAGCAGCGUGUGCCUGCAGCGAAGAUCACAGGGCUCAGU